rnacentral:sRNA from 1 species
UUGUUUUUUCUGUUUUUUUUUAUAAACUUUUUCUUCAUUAAU